GCGAACGAAGCCGCAGCGCCUGUGGGCGACCGUCGCCCAUCUGCAUCCGGGUGUGAGCCCCGCCUGUCGGGUCACAUAGGAAGACUGCUGCACCUUUCCAGGUGUUUCUGCCCGCUGCCUCCAGGCCGGUUGAGGACUGCCGGCACAUAGCGGGUACUCUGGAAAUACUUGAACAGAGUAGAGGAGAUUGUUUUGUGCUAAAGCAAAGGGUCUGCGGUUCCAGGACGCAGGGGCCGAACGUGCGAGACCCUGAGAGCCAUGGAGGCUCUCUGGCCGCUUUGCAGAUGAAUUUCAGGGCGGGUGCGUACAGAAGCAGGGAGAGCAGGUGGGGCAGGUGCUUUCACUCAAGGAAAUGGGGUGGGACCAGGUCUGUUUUGGAUAUAGGACGGAGAUUUGUGGGUGGCUAAAAAGUACGGGGCACCGGAAAGAGGUGAGGAUGUGAAGUUACUGUGGGUUUGGCGGCAUACCUUAUUAUUGCCUUGAACACUUCCCAGCGCCCCCUAUGGACCAGGCAAAAGCAGGCAUUCUGAGGUCUGGGAAGAUGCCUUUAAUAAUUUCUAGAUGCUUCAAAGAUGAAGGGACUCUGAGUAUCUCAUGGGGAACGGACCCAGUCUAGCUUCCUGAGGGGCCCACUCUGGGGCUGAGUGGAGGAUGAGUUAUUCUAGUAGAUAAGUGAAUGUUUCAAGCAGUGGGAAUAGUAUGUUGGAAGGCCUAGAUGGUGAUAGGAGGUGGGGUUAUUGGUUAUUGGUUAUAUGGCCAUCGCAGGAGACUCCCACCCAAAGCAGCCAUGUAUGUUUUUUUCUAGCCCAGUGGUGCCUGGCUGUCCAUAACUGUCCUGUCCACAUCCAGCACUUGUCCACCUUCUGGGCUGCUCAGCCCAAGGAUGGAAGGAAGCCACUAAUAGGCACUCCUCUGGGUGACUCAUCCCAAGCUGUCUCUCCAUCCCCGGGUAAUGCAGUCCUGUUUACAAGGAAUUACAAAAGGGUCUUCAGAGCAGCAUCUCACCCUUGACUAUGCCCUCCUCUCCACAGAAGUACCACUGCUGCUGGGUCCCUGCCUGGGUGGACCCACUUACCUCCUUCCUGAGUGAUACAGACACAUACAAAAGAUGUCGCCCCUUGGGGUUCCUGCUCUACCCCUACCCCUGCAACACCACAGGUGGGCAGCCCACCUGCUGAGAUACCCCAAAAAAGAUAUGAUUUUAUAAAGGAUUUAACUGGCCUGUCUUGUGAUUUCUGCACAGAACUUGCUCAAGGAAACACGUUCCCCUCAAUCUGUGGCACCUGCUCUGUGAGCGGGUGCAGUUGUCCCCGGAACAGAGGAAAUGGCACAAUUGGCUGGGAGCGCAGCUGCGGCACCAGCUUGGUCCAGGCCUGGGUGCCCAGCCACAGCUGUUCACAGCAGCAGUGAUGAUGCAAGCUCCGGGUGCCAGGCCAAGCAUUCUGUGUGGCUGGGGACUUGGACAUCAUCUUUCCCUGUCCUCGUGGAAACCAGGUCAAGAAGGACCCAUAAACCUGGCAAUCUCACUUGCUCUUGAGAGAAGAACUGGGUGGGCACCAAAGGGGACAGGAAGCUAGCCUUUUACUGGCUGCUCCUGCCUGCCUUUUGCAUUAUGAAUUGGGCGCUACAUUGCAUUUUCAAAAGAGAAAUAAAAUUUAAAGUCAGAAACUCCCAAAAUUUUCAGGUCUUCUCCAAUACUAAGUGUGUGAUGAAGCCUAGGAAAGCAAACAAGCUAAAUCUCCCCACCGCCCUGAUACUUGGAGAGGAUGGCCCUCACUAAAGAGGGGAGGAACCCGAGGCUCCA